AGAGGCCACAGCGCUGUGGUGAAGGGCACGAGUGCUCUGCGGAUGCCUGAGUUCAAAUCCCAGCUCAACCACAGAAGGAGCAGAGCGGGCCGCCUCUCCAAGCCCCUGCUCUCAUCUACAAAGAUAAAACCGCACCGCUCUCUCUGGACUGUCCUAAGAAAGAAACACAUUAAUGCAGGGCAGCCUCUUAUUUAUCCUUCCAGAUUCAGGCCAAAUGGCGCCUCCUCUGGGAAGCCCUCCUUGACCUUCUCAGGAAAAACGCACUGGGCUGUGAUAUUUCUGUUUGUGCGUCUGCUUCCCCGGGGAGACUGCUCUCCACAAGGCCAGAGAUCUCAUGGGGAAACUUCGAAGGCACUGAGAAUGGUGAAUGAACCAAUGACCACGUUUCACCGGCCAGUACUUCCAAACCGAAGUCACGAGGGAGAUGCUGAGGGUUCAGGCACUGCGAGGAGGCUCUGUGCAUGAUCCCCUCCAAGUCGCACAGCGGGGUGGCCAGAGACGCUAAAUAUGCGAACAACGUCACUCGGGCAGAGCAAGGAUCAUGUAGACACAGCGGCGGGGCAGCAACUCGCCCAGCAGUACCAAUCCCCGCAUCAACCUGAAUCAAGCUCCUCUCGAUUCUCCGCUCUAAAAAGCAAGCGAGGUGCAAGGCAAGCGACGUCCAGGUAAGCGGAUGCCACUGAAGGGUGCUCAGCCUGGGUAAUCUUUGUGACACCGCCGCGGCCGUGCCUCCUCUCUUUUGCCACAUUUUGGAGUGAGUCAUUUCAUAUAACUGGAUUUUUCAGAUGACUGAAGCCUAAACUUCUAAAACAUUUUAACCAUUUGGAAUGGAGUCAUUUCAGGAACGGACUACCCGCUUCCCCUGAACUCUUCAACUCUCCCUAUGGAAAGUGAGGCUGUCUUGAUGAGUCAGUAGCACCAUUAGGAACAAGUGGGCCUGCCCCGAGCCACAGCCCAGAGCUAAGAAAGAACUUUUAAAGGAAUCCUUUAUGAAAGAUUUCACCUCCUAGUUACUAAAAGAGAGACGACUAAUUGGCUUCCUAAGGAAACACAAAAGAACCUAAAAGUCACAUGCAUCAAAUUGUUACUUUUUACUAGGGUUCUGUUUUACAUCUAAAACAUUUUUUUUAAGUUUUGAGGACAUCCAUUACCACUUGAAGUGCCUAAAGAAGAAUCUGGUUUUGCCUCUUCCUAGGCAAAAUUCCUUGAUUUUGCAGAAACUUUGAUCCCUCAAUCUAUAAUUCCACUUCCUACCCUGAGAAGAAGUUAUGAGGGUUCAAUCACCUCCUAUCCACAGAAGCAUUAAGCUCAGAGUCUGGCACAUGUUAGGGUUCACUAAUUUCCAUCCUUCCUCCUGACUUUCAGUAACUGGGACCAAUGGGAUUAUAAAUGGAAAUGGGGAAAAUGAAAAUAUCAGUAGGGGUAAGGGGAAAAAAUGGUCCAAACAUUCUAGCCAAAAAUGGAAAUCGUCUUUAGUUAUACAUUGUAUAUGGUAACCCAUCUUAAACUUAUAUACAGGCUGUAUUACAGUAAUAUAUACAUGAAUUUUAAGGGAGAACAUUAUGUUUGCAGCUGUUAACUUUAAAAACAAAAGCCAUUUCACCCUCUUACACUACUGCUGGGAAUGUAAACUGCUGC